rnacentral:tRNA from 1 species
CAUAUGGCCGAAUGGUAAGGCGGUAGACUGUAAAUUUAUUGAUAAUUAUCGUUGUUAGUUCGAAUCUAGCUAUGC